rnacentral:lncRNA from 1 species
UGGGAAUUUUUUGGAGUUGGAUUCGAGGAGGCUAAUUAAAUCUGGGUACUAUGCAGAAUUAAUAUGUACGUAGAUAUCAUGCAGGGGCACUAUGCAAAGUCACUAUUCACGUAGAAACCAUGCAAAGUUACUAUGCAAGAAUUACUGUGCAAAUUAGUUACGGGUGGUAAGAAAAAAUUUAUACAGGAGAAACUUUAUGCUGGUCGCUUAGGACAAGGGUAGCAAAAUACUUCUAUGAUUUUUCUGGAUUUUUUAGAAUUUUUUCUAGACGGAAAUAUAAAUACCGCAAUUAGCGUGUACUAUGCAAAAAUUACUAUUCACGAAGUGAUA